rnacentral:rRNA from 1 species
GAUGAACGCUGGCGGCGUGCCUAAUACAUGCAAGUCGAGCGAACGGACGAGAAGCUCGCUUUUCUGAUGUUAGCGGCGGACGGGUGAGUAACACGUGGAUAACCUACCUAUAAGACUGGGAUAACUUCGGGAAACCGGAGCUAAUACCGGAUAAUAUUUUGAACCGCAUGGUUCAAAAGUGAAAGACGGUUUUGCUGUCACUUAUAGAUGGAUCCGCGCUGCAUUAGCUAGUUGGUAAGGUAACGGCUUACCAAGGCAACGAUGCAUAGCCGACCUGAGAGGGUGAUCGGCCACACUGGAACUGAGACACGGUCCAGACUCCUACGGGAGGCAGCAGUGGGGAAUCUUCCGCAAUGGGCGAAAGCCUGACGGAGCAACGCCACGUGAGUGAUGAAGGUCUUCGGACCGUAAAACUCUGUUAUUAGGGAAGAACAUAUGUGUAAGUAACUGUGCACAUCUUGACGGUACCUAAUCAGAAAGCCACGGCUAACUACGUG